UCCUACGGGAGGCAGCAGUGGGGAAUAUUGCACAAUGGGGGGAACCCUGAUGCAGCGACGCCGCGUGAGUGAAGAAGUAUUUCGGUAUGUAAAGCUCUGUCAGCAGGGAAGAAGAAAGACGGUACCUGACCAAGAAGCCCCGGCUAACUACGUGCCAGCAGCCGCGGUAAUACGUAGGGGGCAAGCGUUAUCCGGAUUUACUGGGUGUAAAGGGAGCGUAGACGGCAGCGCAAGUCUGGAGUGAAAUGCCGGGGCCCAACCCCGGAACUGCUUUGGAAACUGUGCAGCUCGAGUGCAGGAGAGGU
rnacentral:rRNA from 1 species